CCUACGGGAGGCAGCAGUGAGGAAUAUUGGUCAAUGGACGCAAGUCUGAACCAGCCAUGCCGCGUGCAGGAUGACGGCUCUAUGAGUUGUAAACUGCUUUUGUACGAGGGUAAACCCCGAUACGUGUAUAGGGUUGAAAGUAGCGUACGAAUAAGGAUCGGCUAACUCCGUGCCAGCAGCCGCGGUAAUACGGAGGAUCCGAGCGUUAUCCGGAGUUAUUGGGGUGAAAGGGUGCGUAGGCGGUUUGAUAAGUUAGAGGGGAAAUGUCGGGGCUCAACCCCGAAACUGCCUCUAAUACUGUUGGCCUAUAGCAUAGUUGCGGUCGGCUGAUUGUAUGGUGUAGCGGUGACCUGCUUAGAGAUCAUACACACCACCGAUUGCGACGGCAGCUUACCAAACUAUAUCUGACGUUGCGGCACGAACGCGUGGGUAGCAAACAGUAUUAGAUACCCCUGUAGUC
rnacentral:rRNA from 1 species